ensembl:lncRNA
GUGCAUGCUCGCGCCCUCUGGAGCUGCUCUUUGAGGCGUGAGAGCGACUGUCGGUUCUCCUGACCCUGCCCGCACCUGCUCAGCUGCUCUCGUGAUUGCUGGAAGCUCGUGGCAGCUCUCCCCUUGCGUUGGGACCCCGCCUCCCCUGCUAGGUGUGCGGCGCUGGAGCCGAUCGCCUCAAAGUGACCGUUGGAGACAGGACCGUUAGGCCGUUUAAACUUCCCGCCCUUGCGUCUGGCCGCCACCGCCUGGUCUCAGCGGCUCGCAGGGGGCUGGCGGGUCCUGGCUGCUCACCCUGGCGGCCCCUCGAUUCCAGGACUUCCCCACAUACGCUGCAGUUCUCCCCGCUGCUGCAGGACGUGUCUGCGCCGGAGCUGAUCGCCUCAGAGCGUCGAUGUUCUUCGCCGCACUGUCUUGGUGAGCAUUUGCCUGCAUUCCCAAGGAGGCUAAUCCAUCCUAGAUACAGUACGUGUAACUUCCGGGAAGUCUAAAGUGCUUCAACGAUAAGGAACGUGCGGUGUUCUCUGAAAUCGCUGUUUCACUCAGGCAGAUGUGCAUGCAUAUAUCUGCAGGAGACAACCAUAAAGCAUCAUCCUGAAGUCAUCCUAGCUAAAAAAAAAACAACCCAGCUCCAAAGAAACCACCAGGUGGACCCAGAAUCACCUGAUAAAUACAAAAAAGUGCAUCUCUUAUUUGUCAUUCUGAGGCAGAAUGUCACUGACCAGAAGACUCAAACAUACAUGAGUAAUUUCAAAUUACAGGAGCAGCAUGAAU